rnacentral:rRNA from 1 species
AGAGUUUGAUCAUGGCUCAGGAUGAACGCUAGCGGCAGACUUAAUACAUGUGAGUCGAGGGGCAGCGGAUCCCUCCGGGGAUGCCGGCGACCGGCGAACGGGUGAGUAACACGUAUGGAACCUGCCCUUAACUGGGAAAUAGCUUUGAGAAAUCGAAGGUAAUGUCCCAUACCAUCUGAAGAAGGCAUCUUUUUCAGAUGAAAGCUCCGGCGGUUAAGGAUGGCCAUGCGGUCCAUUAGCUUGUUGGUGAGAUAACCGCUCACCGAGGCUGCGAUGGAUAGCUGAUCUGAGAGGAUGAUCAGCCACAUUGGCACUGAGACACGGGCCAAACUCCUACGGGAGGCAGCAGUAGGGAAUCUUGGUCAAUUGGCGAAAGCCAGAACCAGUCAUGCCGCGUGCAGGAUGAAGGCCCUACGGGUCGUAAACUGCUUUUAUUCGGGAAGAAAAAGUCUGUUUCCACAGACCUUGACGGUACCGAUUGAAUAAGGACCGGCCAACUCCGUGCCAGCAGCCGCGGUAAUACGGAGGGUCCAAGCGUUAUCCGGAUUCACUGGGUUUAAAGGGUGCGCAGGCGGCUAAGUAAGUCAGUGGUGAAAGCCUUCGGCUCAACCGGAGAAUUGCCAUUGAAACUACUUAGCUUGAGUGCAGUAGAGGUAGGCGGAAUGUAGCAUGUAGCGGUGAAAUGCAUAGAUAUGCUACAGAACACCGAUAGCGAAA